rnacentral:rRNA from 1 species
GACGUAGGAGGCGAGCGUUGUCCGGAUUCAUUGGGCGUAAAGAGCACGUAGGCGGUUUGUCGCGUCGGCCGUGAAAUCUCCACGCUUAACGUGGAGCGUGCGGUCGAUACGGGCAGACUUGAGUUCGGUAGGGGAGACUGGAAUUCCUGGUGUAGCGGUGAAAUGCGCAGAUAUCAGGAGGAACACCGGUGGCGAAGGCGGGUCUCUGGGCCGAUACUGACGCUGAGGAGCGAAAGCGUGGGGAGCGAACAGG